rnacentral:tRNA from 1 species
GGCUGAGUAGCUCAGUGGAUUGAGAGCCAAGCCCUAGAGGUGGGAGUCCUAGGUUCGAAUCCAGCCUCAGCCA